AGAGUUUGAUCAUGGCUCAGAGCGAACGCUGGCGGCAGGCCUAACACAUGCAAGUCGAGCGGCCGUAGCAAUACGGCAGCGGCAGACGGGAGAGUAACACGUGGGAACGCGCCCUUCGGUUCGGAAUAACUCAGGGAAACUUGGGCUAAUACCGGAUACGCCCUUACGGGGAAAGAUUUAUUGCCGAAGGAACGGCCCGCGUCCGAUUAGCUUGUUGGUGAGGUAACGGCUCACCAAGGCGACGAUCGGUAGCUGGUCUGAGAGGAUGGCCAGCCUCACUGGGACUGAGACACGGCCCAGACUCCUACGGGAGGCAGCAGUGGGGAAUAUUGGACAAUGGGCGCAAGCCUGAUCCAGCCAUGCCGCGUGGGUGAUGAAGGCCCUAGGGUUGUAAAGCCCUUUCAGCGGGGAAGAUAAUGACGGUACCCGCAGAAGAAGCCCCGGCUAACUUCGUGCCAGCAGCCGCGGUA
rnacentral:rRNA from 1 species